ACAAUGGGUUCCACUCAUUAAAGCUAGCCCCGCUCGGACAAAGAGGGGCAGGGAGAGACGUAUGAAAAUCUAGAACUACAUUAACUCAUAGAUUAGCCUCAGACGGACAAAAAGCCCCAACAGAGAGGUGGUUCUGGAAGAAGGGGAGACAGCAGCGCGCCCUGUGACGGACACGACCGGAGAGGCGAUGUGAGCCGAUAUCAGAUCUCCGCUCUCUGCGCCGACAGUGUGGGACCCGUCUGCGAAACGCCACCGAGCUGCCGUGCAUAAUGCAAACGACGAGGCCGAGCCAACAGCUGGGUUAUGUCCGAUGGAGCAAGACGGACCAAAGGGUCCGAUCCUUGUAUCGAAGCAAUGUAUGGAUCGGGUUCCAUGGUACCUGCAGUGUAAAACCUUAAAUCAGGGACAGUAAAUGAUCAUAAUGUGGCUGCAGCAGUGGUGAUGGUUUCUGUUAAUGACGUUUAGUCAAAAACUAUACCCUUUAUAGUAAUAAACACAAAACUAGCAGAGCUAAAAAAACACAACAAAAACAAAAUGCUUUAGCUGUGACUGGACUGGCUUCAGUGUGAUUAUGAUUAAAGCUGUCAAUGACUAUAUACCAUAGGAGAGGUUAUAGCAGCUGUAAUUAUAUUCUACAUACGCUGUUAUUGCCCGCAGACGUUCCUCCAAACACUGUUUGAUUAGCCACAGCUUCAAAACAGCCUCCUCUCUUACGGUAACACAUGAGCUGGCCACAUAAGCCUUCAUUUAUUCCAAGGGAUCCCACCAGCAGCCUGUGUUUUCUCGAGGAGACUCUAACAUUAAAGGCUGCUGCCUUCUA